rnacentral:rRNA from 1 species
AAUACUCUCUAGUGACCGAUAGUGAACCAGUACCGUGAGGGAAAGGUGAAAAGCACCCCGGAAGGGGAGUGAAAUAGAACCUGAAACCGUGUGCUUACAAGUAGUCAGAGCCCGUUAAUGGGUGAUGGCGUGCCUUUUGUAGAAUGAACCGGCGAGUUACGAUUUGAUGCAAGGUUAAGCAGUAAAUGUGGAGCCGUAGCGAAAGCGAGUCUGAAUAGGGCGUUUAGUAUUUGGUCGUAGACCCGAAACCAGGUGAUCUACCCUUGGUCAGGUUGAAGUUCAGGUAACACUGAAUGGAGGACCGAACCGACUUACGUUGAAAAGUGAGCGGAUGAACUGAGGGUAGCGGAGAAAUUCCAAUCGAACCUGGAGAUAGCUGGUUCUCUCCGAAAUAGCUUUAGGGCUAGCCUCAAGUGAUGAUUAUUGGAGGUAGAGCACUGUUUGGACGAGGGGCCCCUCUCGGGUUACCGAAUUCAGACAAACUCCGAAUGCCAAUUAAUUUAACUUGGGAGUCAGAACAUGGGUGAUAAGGUCCGUGUUCGAAAGGGAAACAGCCCAGACCACCAGCUAAGGUCCCAAAAUAUAUGUUAAGUGGAAAAGGAUGUGGCGUUGCCCAGACAACUAGGAUGUUGGCUUAGAAGCAGCCAUCAUUUAAAGAGUGCGUAAUAGCUCACUAGUCGAGUGACACUGCGCCGAAAAUGUACCGGGGCUAAACAUAUUACCGAAGCUGUGGAUUGUCCUUUGGACAAUGGUAGGAGAGCGUUCUAAGGGCGUUGAAGCAUGAUCGUAAGGACAUGUGGAGCGCUUAGAAGUGAGAAUGCCGGUGUGAGUAGCGAAAGACGGGUGAGAAUCCCGUCCACCGAUUGACUAAGGUUUCCAGAGGAAGGCUCGUCCGCUCUGGGUUAGUCGGGUCCUAAGCUGAGGCCGACAGGCGUAGGCGAUGGAUAACAGGUUGAUAUUCCUGUACCACCUAUAAUCGUUUUAAUCGAUGGGGGGACGCAGUAGGAUAGGCGAAGCGUGCGAUUGGAUUGCACGUCUAAGCAGUAAGGCUGAGUAUUAGGCAAAUCCGGUACUCAUUAAGGCUGAGCUGUGAUGGGGAGAAGACAUUGUGUCUUCGAGUCGUUGAUUUCACACUGCCGAGAAAAGCCUCUAGAUAGAAAAUAGGUGCCCGUACCGCAAACCGACACAGGUAGUCAAGAUGAGAAUUCUAAGGUGAGCGAGCGAACUCUCGUUAAGGAACUCGGCAAAAUGACCCCGUAACUUCGGGAGAAGGGGUGCUCUUUAGGGUUAACGCCCAGAAGAGCCGCAGUGAAUAGGCCCAAGCGACUGUUUAUCAAAAACACAGGUCUCUGCUAAACCGUAAGGUGAUGUAUAGGGGCUGACGCCUGCCCGGUGCUGGAAGGUUAAGAGGAGUGGUUAGCUUCUGCGAAGCUACGAAUCGAAGCCCCAGUAAACGGCGGCCGUAACUAUAACGGUCCUAAGGUAGCGAAAUUCCUUGUCGGGUAAGUUCCGACCCGCACGAAAGGCGUAACGAUUUGGGCACUGUCUCAACGAGAGACUCGGUGAAAUCAUAGUACCUGUGAAGAUGCAGGUUACCCGCGACAGGACGGAAAGACCCCGUGGAGCUUUACUGUAGCCUGAUAUUGAAAUUCGGCACAGCUUGUACAGGAUAGGUAGGAGCCUUUGAAACGUGAGCGCUAGCUUACGUGGAGGCGCUGGUGGGAUACUACCCUAGCUGUGUUGGCUUUCUAACCCGCACCACUUAUCGUGGUGGGAGACAGUGUCAGGCGGGCAGUUUGACUGGGGCGGUCGCCUCCUAAAAGGUAACGGAGGCGCUCAAAGGUUCCCUCAGAAUGGUUGGAAAUCAUUCAUAGAGUGUAAAGGCAUAAGGGAGCUUGACUGCGAGACCUACAAGUCGAGCAGGGUCGAAAGACGGACUUAGUGAUCCGGUGGUUCCGCAUGGAAGGGCCAUCGCUCAACGGAUAAAAGCUACCCCGGGGAUAACAGGCUUAUCUCCCCCAAGAGUUCACAUCGACGGGGAGGUUUGGCACCUCGAUGUCGGCUCAUCGCAUCCUGGGGCUGUAGUCGGUCCCAAGGGUUGGGCUGUUCGCCCAUUAAAGCGGUACGCGAGCUGGGUUCAGAACGUCGUGAGACAGUUCGGUCCCUAUCCGUCGUGGGCGUAGGAAAUUUGAGAGGAGCUGUCCUUAGUACGAGAGGACCGGGAUGGACAUACCUCUGGUGUACCAGUUGUCGUGCCAACGGCAUAGCUGGGUAGCUAUGUGUGGACGGGAUAAGUGCUGAAAGCAUCUAAGCAUGAAGCCCCCCUCAAGAUGAGAUUUCCCAACUUCGGUUAUAAGAUCCCUCAAAGAUGAUGAGGUUAAUAGGUUCGAGGUGGAAGCAUGGUGACAUGUGGAGCUGACGAAUACUAA